GACGAACGCUGGCGGCGUGCUUAACACAUGCAAGUCGAACGGUAAGGCUCCAGCUUGCUGGGGUACACGAGUGGCGAACGGGUGAGUAACACGUGGGUGACCUGCCCUGCACUUCGGGAUAAGCCUGGGAAACUGGGUCUAAUACCGGAUAGGACCGCACCGUGAGGGUGUGGUGGAAAGUUUUUUCGGUGUGGGAUGGGCCCGCGGCCUAUCAGCUUGUUGGUGGGGUAAUGGCCUACCAAGGCGGCGACGGGUAGCCGGCCUGAGAGGGUGGACGGCCACAUUGGGACUGAGACACGGCCCAGACUCCUACGGGAGGCAGCAGUGGGGAAUAUUGCACAAUGGGCGGAAGCCUGAUGCAGCGACCCCGCGUGGGGGAUGACGGCCUUCGGGUUGUAAACUCCUUUCACCAUCGACGAAGGGUUUCUGACGGUAGAUGGAGAAGAAGCACCGGCUAACUACGUGCCAGCAGCCGCGGUAAUACGUAGGGUGCGAGCGUUGUCCGGAAUUACUGGGCGUAAAGAGCUCGUAGGUGGUUUGUCGCGUCGUCUGUGAAAUUCCGGGGCUUAACUCCGGGCGUGCAGGCGAUACGGGCAUAACUUGAGUACUGUAGGGGAGACUGGAAUUCCUGGUGUAGCGGUGAAAUGCGCAGAUAUCAGGAGGAACACCGGUGGCGAAGGCGGGUCUCUGGGCAGUAACUGACGCUGAGGAGCGAAAGCAUGGGGAGCGAACAGGAUUAGAUACCCUGGUAGUCCAUGCCGUAAACGGUGGGCGCUAGGUGUGGGUUUCCUUCCACGGGAUCCGUGCCGUAGCUAACGCAUUAAGCGCCCCGCCUGGGGAGUACGGCCGCAAGGCUAAAACUCAAAGGAAUUGACGGGGGCCCGCACAAGCGGCGGAGCAUGUGGAUUAAUUCGAUGCAACGCGAAGAACCUUACCUGGGCUUGACAUAUACAGGAUCGCGCCAGAGAUGGUGUUUCCCUUGUGGCUUGUAUACAGGUGGUGCAUGGUUGUCGUCAGCUCGUGUCGUGAGAUGUUGGGUUAAGUCCCGCAACGAGCGCAACCCUUGUCUUAUGUUGCCAGCACGUUGUGGUGGGGACUCGUAAGAAACUGCCGGGGUUAACUCGGAGGAAGGUGGGGAUGACGUCAAAUCAUCAUGCCCCUUAUGUCCAGGGCUUCACACAUGCUACAAUGGUCGGUACAGUGGGUUGCCAGUCCGUGAGGGCGAGCUAAUCCCGCAAAGCCGGUCUCAGUUCGGAUCGGGGUCUGCAACUCGACCCCGUGAAGUCGGAGUCGCUAGUAAUCGCAGAUCAGCAACGCUGCGGUGAAUACGUUCCCGGGCCU
rnacentral:rRNA from 1 species